GACCGACCUGGCCUAAGCCGAUUUGAACUCAAAUCAUGUAAAUUUCUUAAUAGUCGAACAGACUUAAUUUUAUAGCCCCUUCACCAUAAAUAAAAUUUAAUUCAACAUCGAGGUCGCAAACUUAAUUAUUAAUAAGAACUCAUUAAUUAAAUAACGCUGUUAACCCUAGAGUAAUUUUUUUUACUUUUAACUUCUUACUUAAAAAUUAAUAUCUUUAAUUAUUGCCCCAAUAAAAAAUAUUUAUGUAUCUAUAAGUUAUAAUUUUGAUAUUUCAUAUUUUAAAAACUUCUAGGGUCUUCUCGUCCUAAAAAUUCAUAAGAGCUUUUUUACUCUUAAAUUAAUUUCAAAUUAAUUUUAAAAAACAUUUUCCUUUUUAGUAUCUACCUUUCAUUCCAGUUUCCAAUUAAAAA
rnacentral:rRNA from 1 species